rnacentral:rRNA from 1 species
AUUGAACGCUGGCGGCAUGCCUUACACAUGCAAGUCGAACGGUAACAGGUCUUCGGAUGCUGACGAGUGGCGAACGGGUGAGUAAUACAUCGGAACGUGCCUAGUAGUGGGGGAUAACUACUCGAAAGAGUGGCUAAUACCGCAUGAGAUCUACGGAUGAAAGCAGGGGAUCGCAAGACCUUGUGCUACUAGAGCGGCCGAUGGCAGAUGAGGUAGUUGGUGGGAUAAAAGCUUACCAAGCCGACGAUCUGUAGCUGGUCUGAGAGGACGAUCAGCCACACUGGGACUGAGACACGGCCCAGGCUCCUACGGGAGGCAGCAGUGGGGAAUUUUGGACAAUGGGCGCAAGCCUGAUCCAGCAAUGCCGCGUGCAGGAUGAAGGCCUUCGGGUUGCAAACUGCUUUUGUACGGAACGAAAAGCCCUGGGUUAAUACCCUGGGGUCAUGACGGUACCGUAGGAAUAAGCACCGGCUAACUACGUGCCAGCCGCCGCCGUAACAC